GGUGAUACUGCAGAAGAAUUUAAGAAGGCAGGACUCCCCAAAGAGUAGUCUCAACUGGCAAUAAAAAUCACAAUUAGAUGUGUUUCCUGAAACAGCACCCACUGGGACAGCAGAAUCCUCUGAGAGAGAAGCUCUUUGGAGAGAAGCAGAUACUGUUCACCAUCUGGGGCUAAAGUGGAGGGAGGGAAGUUCCUAGCAUCAUUUGACAUCACUCUGCGAAGACCAGGAGCUUCUGAGAUGGACCUCAAGCCUUACUCUUGCCGAGCAGUAUUCUGAGAUCUGCCUAUGUUAUGGCUACCACAGCGCAGAACUCAAUCCUACUAUGAUCUUCUCCAUGGAACCGUACAGGAAAAAUUUUGAGACAUUUGUUUCGGCAAUAGUCGCAUGAGUUUUUCAACGGAAGCACAGGCAACAGGAACCUCAACGACAGAAGUGGGAAAGCAUCUAUGUCCAAAGCUCUGCACAGUCAAGGGAACAAUCAGCAGAGCUCGGUGUCACCUGCAGAGUGGCAAGUCCACAGAUCAUUUAUCUGAUAUCGUUUCCAAGAUAUUCAAGGAACUCACUACUGAAACAAGUACAGGAAUAAAUGUUAUAAACAUUUAAAAGGAAUGCCCAAUGGCUUGAUUGGAAGAUAGGAUGAUGAUCUGAAUAAAACAUCUUCAAAGGAGAUGCGCACA